UACGGGGGGGGGCAAGCGUUGUUCGGAAUUACUGGGCGUAAAGGGCUCGUAGGCGGCCAACUAAGUCGGACGUGAAAUCCCUCGGCUUAACCGGGGAACUGCGUCCGAUACUGGAUGGCUUGAGUUUGGGAGAGGGAUGCGGAAUUCCAGGUGUAGCGGUGAAAUGCGUAGAUAUCUGGAGGAACACCGGUGGCGAAGGCGGCAUCCUGGACCAACACUGACGCUGAGGAGCGAAAGCCAGGGGAGCAAACGGG
rnacentral:rRNA from 1 species